GACGAACGCUGGCGGCGUGCUUAACACAUGCAAGUCGAACGGAAAGGCCCUGCUUUUGUGGGGUGCUCGAGUGGCGAACGGGUGAGUAACACGUGAGUAACCUGCCCUUGACUUUGGGAUAACUUCAGGAAACUGGGGCUAAUACCGGAUAGGAGCUCCUGCUGCAUGGUGGGGGUUGGAAAGUUUCGGCGGUUGGGGAUGGACUCGCGGCUUAUCAGCUUGUUGGUGGGGUAGUGGCUUACCAAGGCUUUGACGGGUAGCCGGCCUGAGAGGGUGACCGGCCACAUGGGGACUGAGAUACGGCCCAGACUCCUACGGGAGGCAGCAGUGGGGAAUAUUGCACAAUGGGCGGAAGCCUGAUGCAGAAACGCCGCGUGCGGGAGGACGGCCUUCGGGUGGUAAACCGCUUUCGCCUGUGACGAAGCGUGAGUGACGGUAAUGGGAAAAGAAGCACCGGCUAACUACGU
rnacentral:rRNA from 1 species